GGCUCACCAAGGCAACGAUACGUAGCCGACCUGAGAGGGUGAUCGGCCACACUGGAACUGAGACACGGUCCAGACUCCUACGGGAGGCAGCAGUAGGGAAUCUUCCGCAAUGGGCGAAAGCCUGACGGAGCAACGCCGCGUGAGUGAUGAAGGUCUUCGGAUCGUAAAGCUCUGUUGUUAGGGAAGAACAAAUGUGUAAGUAACUGUGCACAUCUUGACGGUACCUAACCAGAAAGCCACGGCUAACUACGUGCCAGCAGCCGCGGUAAUACGUAGGUGGCAAGCGUUAUCCGGAAUUAUUGGGCGUAAAGCGCGCGUAGGCGGUUUUUUAAGUCUGAUGUGAAAGCCCACGGCUCAACCGUGGAGGGUCAUUGGAAACUGGAAAACUUGAGUGCAGAAGAGGAAAGUGGAAUUCCAUGUGUAGCGGUGAAAUGCGCAGAGAUAUGGAGGAACACCAGUGGCGAAGGCGGCUUUCUGGUCUGUAACUGACGCUGAUGUGCGAAAGCGUGGGGAUCAAACAGGAUUAGAUACCCUGGUAGUCCACGCCGUAAACGAUGAGUGCUAAGUGUUAGGGGGUUUCCGCCCCUUAGUGCUGCAGCUAACGCAUUAAGCACUCCGCCUGGGGAGUACGGUCGCAAGACUGAAACUCAAAGGAAUUGACGGGGACCCGCACAAGCGGUGGAGCAUGUGGUUUAAUUCGAAGCAACGCGAAGAACCUUACCAAAUCUUGACAUCUUUUGACCACUCUAGAGAUAGAGUUUUCCUCUUCGGAGGACAAAAUGACAGGUGGUGCAUGGUUGUCGUCAGCUCGUGUCGUGAGAUGUUGGGUUAAGUCCCGCAACGAGCGCAACCCUUGAGCUUAGUUGCCAUCAUUAAGUUGGGCACUCUAAGUUGACUGCCGGUGACAAACCGGAGGAAGGUGGGGAUGACGUCAAAUCAUCAUGCCCCUUAUGAUUUGGGCUACACACGUGCUACAAUGGACAAUACAAAGGGCAGCAAAACCGCGAGGUCAAGCAAAUCCCAUAAAGUUGUUCUCAGUUCGGAUUGUAGUCUGCAACUCGACUACAUGAAGCUGGAAUCGCUAGUAAUCGUAGAUCAGCAUGCUACGGUGAAUACGUUCCCGGGUCUUGUACACACCGCCCGUCACACCACGAGAGUUUGUAACACCCGAAGCCGGUGGAGUAACCAUUUGGAGCUAGCCGUCGAAGGUGGGACAAAUGAUUGGGGUGAAGUCGUAACAAGGUAGCCGUAUCGGAAGGUGCGGCUGGAUCACCUCCUUU
rnacentral:rRNA from 1 species